rnacentral:lncRNA from 1 species
GCUGUCGGAUUGCAGCCCCGGGNUGGCACAGGGGGACAGGAGAGGGACAGGACAGGAGGACAGGAGAGGGACAGGAGAGGGACAAGGGGACAGGAGCAGGACAGAGGGACAGGGGGACAGGAGAGGGACAGGACAGGGGGACAGGGAGUGGCACAGGAGGACAGGAGAGGGGACAGGACAGGGGGACAGGAGAGGGACAGGGGGACAGGGACACACUGCCCUAACAACCCGAGGUUCCCAGGUGCCCACGGCUGGGGAGUGGCGGCAGCUGCGGCCCCGGGAUUGUCCCCAACCUGUCCCUGUUUUCCCCAGGCUGUCCCAGACUGUCCCUGUUGUCCCCAGGCUGUCCCCAGCUGUCGCCAGCUGUCCCCAGGCUGUCCCCAGCUGUCCCCAGGCUGUCCCCAGCUGUCCCAGGGCUCUCCCAGGCUCUCCCAGGGCUGUCCCCAGCUGUCCCCAGGUUGUCCCCAGCUGUCCCAGGGCUAUCCCAGGGCUGUCCCCAGGCUAUCACAGGCUCUCCCAGGGCUGUCCCUGUUGUCCCCAGCUGUCCCAGGGCUAUCCCAGGCUCUCCCAGGGCUGUCCCCAGGCUCUCCCAGGGCUGUCCCUGUUGUCCCCAGCUGUCCCCAGGCUCUCCCAGGGCUGUCCCAGGGCUGUCCCUGUUGUCCCCAGGCUGUCCCCAGCUGUCCCCAGCUGUCCCUGUUGUCCCCAGCUGUCCCUGUUGUCCCCAGCUGUCCCCAGGGCUGUCCCUGUUGUCCCCAGCUGUCCCCAGGCUAUCCCAGGCUGUCCCCAGGCUAUCCCAGGGCUAUCCCAGGCUGUCCCCAGCUGUCCCCAGGCUCUCUCAGGCUGUCCCCAGGCUCUCCCAGGGCUGUCCCCAGCUGUCCCUGUUGUCCCCAGGCUGUCCCCAGCUGUCCCCAGGCUAUCCCAGGCUGUCCCCAGGCUCUCCCAGGGCUGUCCCAGGCUGUCCCAAGCUGUCCCCAGCUGUCCCCAGCUGUCCCAGGGCUAUCCCAGGCUCUCCCAGGCUGUCCCCAGGCUCUCCCAGGCUGUCCCUGUUGUCCCCAGCUGUCCCCAGCCGUGCCGGUACAUUCAGUGUUUGUCGCAGGGUCUAUGGCUCAGGGGGCGGCGCCCCUCGCUCGGGCAGUGCAAAAACACCCGCUGAAAUGUCAAUUCUUCCUUUUUCUCUUUUGUGCUGUUGGGUUCUUUUAUUUUUUAUUAUUAAUAUAUUUUUUUUUUAUUAUUCCUUCUUUUUUAACUUUUUUUUUUUUUUAA